GAACGCACAUUGCGCCCCUUGGUAUUCCGAGGGGCAUGCCCGUUCGAGCGUCAUUUCACCACUCAAGCCUCGCUUGGUAUUGGGCAACGCGGUCCGCCGCGUGCCUCAAAUCGUCCGGCUGGGUCUUCUGUCCCCUAAGCGUUGUGGAAACUAUUCGCUAAAGGGUGUUCGGGAGGCUACGCCGUAAAACAACCCCAUUUCUAAGGUUGACCUCGGAUCAGGUAGGGAUACCCGCUGAACUUA
rnacentral:misc_RNA from 1 species